rnacentral:rRNA from 1 species
CCAAUAGCGUAUAUUAAAGUUGUUGCAGUUAAAAAGCUCGUAGUUGAACUUCGGGGUUUACCCAUUGGUCAGGCUUAACUGUCUGUACUGGUGAGAUAAAUCUCUACCUUCUGAGGAACUUUCAUGCCAUUUAUUUGGUGUGAUGGGAAAUCAGGACUGUUACUUUGAAAAAAUUAGAGUGUUUAAAGCAGGCUAACGUCUGAAUACAUUAGCAUGGAAUAAUGAAAUAGGACGGAUUGGUUCUAUUUCGUUGGUUUCUAGGAUCACCGUAAUGAUUAAUAGGGAUAGUUGGGGGCAUUAGUAUUCAAUUGUCAGAGGUGAAAUUCUUGGAUUUAUUGAAGACUAACUACUGCGAAAGCAUUUGCCAAGGAUGUUUUCAUUAAUCAAGAACGAAAGUUAGGGGAUCGAAGACGAUCAGAUACCGUCGUAGUCUUAACCAUAAACUAUGCCGACUAGGGAUCGGACGAAGUUAAUUUUAUAAUGACGCGUUCGGCACCUUACG